UUAAGUUUAGAAGCUGUUGUAAUUUGUGGUUUAAUGGGUUUUGUACCUUUUGCAUCAUGUUUUUCAGAUGUUUUUAGAAAUUCUAUUUUAUCGAAAGAUGUGGAUCUUGUAUGAUAUUGGUUUGUUUAAAAAACCGGGUUGGUCAGGUUUAGAUAUUGUAUUAGUUGUGAAAAAUUAAUCGGCACGUUUUAUAACUAUUUAGUGAUGUACAAUUUAUUUGUAACACUGAGGCUAAGAGGUCUUAGUGUAGGGUACAUGAUAUAUUUGUUUUUUUAGAAAUGGGUUGAAGUUACCCUAUUCUUAUAAAAGUGUUAAAAUUUUUUUAAAUCUGCUGUUUAUAUUCAUUACAUCGUAAAAAUCACUUUAUGAACUUUAUGAACUAUAUAAAUUGUUAAAUAAGUAUUUACAAUAGAAUUAUUAUAUCUCAUAUGCUUUCUGUCUGUUUAUUAAAAACAUUUCCAUCAUUAAAGUUUUAUGGUAGUACCUGCUCUAUGUUUAUAUAAAUGGCCGCAGUAUAUUGACUGUGCGAAGGUAGCAUAAUUAAUUGCCUUAUAAUUGAAGGCUUGUUUGAAUGGUUUGACAAGGGGGUGAUUUAUAUUAAUUUUUUUUUAGAAAUUACUAUGGAGUGCACAGAAGCCUCUCUUAUUAAUUAGACGGAAAGACCCCAGGAUCUUUCUUUUUUACUUGGGGCAAGUAUGAAUCUUUUAUUAAUAUUAUGACCCUUAUGGUUUACUGAGUUAAGUUACCCUGGGGAUAACAGUGUAAUAGUUAUUUAGAGGCCUUAUCGAAUUAACUGAUUGCUACCUCGAUGUUGACUUAGAUAUAUAUGUUUGGCGCAGUUGUUGAACGUUUUGGUCUGUUCGACCAGAUUUAUCUCCAUGAGUUGAGUUAAGACCGGCGUAAGCCAGGUCGGUUCUUAUCUAUUAUUCUAAUUUACUAGUACGAAAGGACCGUGAAUUUUUUAGUUUU
rnacentral:rRNA from 1 species